rnacentral:rRNA from 1 species
AGGAUAUAUCCAGAAAUACACCCUUCGUUGAUCCUACCGAGGCCACUGCUAUCGGGAUCCACUAAACCAUACGAAUCGACCGGCUUCCUUCCUCCGGGAGAGAAGUCAGGGGGGACGGCUCAGUAACACGUGGGUAAUCUACCCUCGGGUCGGGGAUAACCCCGGGAAACUGGGGCUAAUCCCCGAUAGGGGGAGAAGUCUGGAAGGAUCCUCCCCUAAAAGCUCCGGCGCCCGAGAAUGAGCCUGCGGCCGAUUAGGUUGUUGGUGGAGUAACGGACCACCAAGCCUGCGAUCGGUACGGGCAGUGGGAGCUGUGCCCCGGAAAUGGGGGCUGAGACACGGCCCAAGCCCCUACGGGGCGCAGCAGGCGCGAAAACUCCGCAAUGCUUGUAAGGGUGAUGGGGGGAUUUUGAGUCCCCCUCCACUGCAGGGGCUUUUGGGGAGUAUAAAAACCUCCGCGAAUAAGGGCUGGGCAAGACCGGUGCCAGCCGCCGCGGUAACACCGGCAACCCGAGUGGUGGCCACUAUUAUUGGGCCUAAAGCGUCCGUAGCCGGGUGGGUAAGUCCCUGUGGAAAUCCUCAGGCUCAACCUGAAGAAGUGCGGGGAUACUUCCCGCCUAGGGGCCGGGAGACGCGGAGGGUUCUCCAGGGGUAGCGGUGAAAGCUGUAAUCCCUGGGGGACCACCAGUGGAGAAGGCGCUUCGCGAGAACGGGCCCAACGAUGAGGGAGAAAGCCAGGGGAGCGAACGGGAUUAGAUACC